CUCCAAAGUGUUGAGUUCAGUUCAGGGCAGCUUCCCUGUUCUGUUAAUUAAACUUUGGGACAUUGAAAUUGGCUGAGGGAAAUGAACUGAAUAGAGAGUAUUACUCUAUUCAUAUACUUGGAGCCUACACAA
ensembl:snoRNA Gm26175 predicted gene, 26175